GAUGAACGCUGGCGGCGUGCCUAAUACAUGCAAGUCGAGCGAAUUGACAGAGGUGCUUGCACCUCUCGAUUUUAGCGGCGGACGGGUGAGUAACACGUGGGUAACCUACCUAUAAGACUGGGAUAACUUCGGGAAACCGGAGCUAAUACCGGAUAAUAUUUAGCUUCGCAUGAAGCAGUAGUGAAAGACGGUUCUGCUGUCACUUAUAGAUGGACCUGCGGUGUAUUAGCUAGUUGGUGAGGUAACGGCUCACCAAGGCAACGAUACAUAGCCGACCUGAGAGGGUGAUGGGCCACACUGGGACUGAGACACGGCCCAGACUCCUACGGGAGGCAGCAGUAGGGAAUCUUCCGCAACGGACGAAAGUCUGACGGAGCAACGCCGCGUGAGUGAAGAAGGUUUUCGGAUCGUAAAGCUCUGUUGUAAGGGAAGAACAAGUACGUUAGUAACUGAACGUACCUUGACGGUACCUUACCAGAAAGCCACGGCUAACUACGUGCCAGCCGCCGCCGUAAGAC
rnacentral:rRNA from 1 species